rnacentral:rRNA from 1 species
GAUGAACGCUGGCGGCGUGCCUAAUACAUGCAAGUCGAGCGAACAGACGAGGAGCUUGCUCCUCUGACGUUAGCGGCGGACGGGUGAGUAACACGUGGAUAACCUACCUAUCAGACUGGGAUAACUUCGGGAAACCGGAGCUAAUACCGGAUAAUAUAUUGAACCGCAUGGUUCAAUAGUGAAAGACGGUUUUGCUGUCUCUUAUAGAUGGAUCCGCGCCGCAUGAGCUAGUUGGUAAGGUAACGGCUUACCAAGGCAACGAUGCGUAGCCGACCGGAGAGGGUGAUCGGCCACACUGGAACUGAGACACGGUCCAGACUCCUGCGGGAGGCAGCAGUAGGGAAUCUUCCGCAAUGGGCGAAAGCCUGACGGAGCAACGGCGCGUGAGUGAUGAAGGUCUUCGGAUCGUAAAGCUCUGUUAUUAGGGAAGAACAAAUGUGUAAGUAACUAUGCACGUCGUGACGGUACCUAAUCAGAAAGCCACGGCUAACUACGUG